GACGAACCGUGCAAACGUUGUUCGGAAUCACUGGGCUUAAAGGGCGCGUAGGCGGGCCGCCAAGUCUGUGGUGAAAGCCUCCAGCUCAACUGGAGAAGUGCCGUGGAUACUGGUGGCCUCGAGGAGGGUAGGGGCAUCUGGAACAGUAGGUGGAGCGGUGAAAUGCGUUGAUAUCUACUGGAACUCCGGUGGCGAAGGCGAGGUGCUGGACCCUUUCUGACGCUGAGGCGCGAAAGCCAGGGGAGCAAACGGGAUUAGAUACCCCGGUAGUCCUGGCCCUAAACGUUGAGAACUAGGUAGUGGACUUACAUGGGUUCACUGCCGAAGCAAAAGUGCUAAGUUCUCCGCCUGGGGAGUAUGGUCGCAAGGCUGAA
rnacentral:rRNA from 1 species